rnacentral:rRNA from 1 species
ACCUGAUCCCAUAUCGAACUCAGAAGUGAAACUGCUUAGCGCCGAUGGUAGUGUGGGAGUUCCCAUGCGAGAGUAGGACAUUGUCAGGC